UCUANCAUGCAGUCGAGCGAACAGACGAGGAGCUUGCUCCUUUGACGUUACCCUUGGNGGGGUGAGUAACACGUGGGUAACCUACCUAUAAGACUGGGAUAACUUCGGGAAACCGGAGCUAAUACCGGAUAAUAUUUNGAACCGCAUGGUUCGAUAGUGAAAGAUGGCUNUGCUNUCACUUAUAGAUGGACCNGCGCCGUAUUAGCUAGUUGGUAAGGUAACGGCUUACCAAGGCAACGAUNCGUAGCCGACCUGAGAGGGUGAUCGGCCACACUGGAACUGAGACACGGUCCAGACUCCUACGGGAGGCAGCAGUAGGGAAUCUUCCGCAAUGGGCGAAAGCCUGACGGAGCAACGCCGCGUGAGUGAUGAAGGUCUUCGGAUCGUAAAACUCUGUUAUUAGGGAAGAACAAANGUGUAAGUAACUGUGCACGUCUUGACGGUACCUAAUCAGAAAGCCACGGCUAACUACGUGCCAGCAGCCGCGGUAAUACGUAGGUGGCAAGCGUUAUCCGGAAUUAUUGGGCGUAAAGCGCGCGUAGGCGGUUUUUUAAGUCUGAUGUGAAAGCCCACGGCUCAACCGUGGAGGGUCAUUGGAAACUGGAAAACUUGAGUGCAGAAGAGGAAAGUGGAAUUCCAU
rnacentral:rRNA from 1 species